CUGAGGUGUAUCGUCACGUUCUUCCAGAUGCAGCAGUGGUUUGAUGAGGAGGGAGAGCGCCACCUGCUGGAGGUCCAGUCAGUGGUCGACUCCGGGGAGCACUUGGAGCAGAUUCUCAACAGCUUCACUGGCUUUCUCAUAGAGGCCAAUGACAGGAGGCACCAUGCCGCGUCGCUGGUGUCUGAGGCGGAGCGGCUGCAGCAGAGCGGGACGUCCCACGCGGAGACGGAGGUCUUCAGGGCGUUUGUGGACAGGUUUAAGUGCGGACUGGAGGAGUUUCUGUGCAGAGCUGAGGCCUGUGGGCGAGAGCUGCAGACCAUGGUGCAGGUCUGUGACUUCUGUGAGCAGGCCUCCACUCUCGCCAAUGAAUGCAUGGACUACUUGGAGCGCAGCCACUCCCAGACCCCACCAACCUGGACCAGACCCAGGACCAGCCCCCUUGUCCCGACCCGUCUUACCCCUCCACCUCCCUGUCCGUAACCCCAGCGCCCCCAGCACCAGCCGACCUGGAGCUGUCCACACUCCACGGCCUCCUGGAGCGGCUUGACCACUUCAGCCCGGAGCGCUUCCAGGAGGUGAAGGUCCAGGCAGGGACCCUUCGGGGGUCCCGGGGCAUGCGGGUGUGGAACGCGGCCUGGCUGCGGUGCCAGGAGGCGCGGCAGCAGCUGGAGGAGCGCGUCCUGGAGAGGACAGCGGCCCGGGACAGCGCCUGCUGUGAGCAUCACUACAUCGAUGUGGUCAGCACAGACGGGCCGCCGCUCGGUCCAGGAGGCCAGGCUCUG
rnacentral:lncRNA from 1 species